rnacentral:rRNA from 1 species
CCUACGGGUGGCAGCAGUGAGGAAUAUUGGUCAAUGGACGAGAGUCUGAACCAGCCAAGUAGCGUGAAGGAUGGCUGCCCUAUGGGUUGUAAACUUCUUUUAUAUGGGAAUAAAACGUUCCACGUGUGGGAUUUUGUAUGUACCAUAUGAAUAAGGAUCGGCUAACUCCGUGCCAGCAGCCGCGGUAAUACGGAGGAUCCGAGCGUUAUCCGGAUUUAUUGGGUUUAAAGGGAGCGUAGGUGGAUUGUUAAGUCAGUUGUGAAAGUUUGCGGCUCAACCGUAAAAUUGCAGUUGAAACUGGCAGUCUUGAGUACAGGAGAGGUGGGCGGAAUUCGUGGUGUAGCGGUGAAAUGCUUAGAUAUCACGAAGAACUCCGAUUGCGAAGGCAGUUCACUGGACUGCAACUGACACUGAGGCUCGAAAGUGUGGGUAUCAAACAGGAUUAGAUACCCUUGUAGUC